UGCAGGCCCAAGCAAAUCCUCUGGUGGUAC
rnacentral:piRNA from 1 species